rnacentral:lncRNA from 10 species
CAAGAAUACAAGCCUUGCCAAAAGGGAAGAGUUGGAACCAAGAAAGACUGGGAUUUGAUUUAAUUUAAACUUAGAAUUUAUAAGUGAGAGAAUGAUUGCAGCCUUGGCAGAAUAUAUGAAUGAGAGAACAUGUAGCCUAUUUUCGACUACUGGACAACUUACCUACAAGAUGAAGCCAACAAUGUUGUUAGCACAGAAAGACAAAAUAAAACCUGGAUCCUUGAUCAUAUUACUAAACUGCUGGAUCAAUGAAUUCUGAUACACGCUGCCAAGCAUGUGGGCCAAUAAAUGUACUCAUUGUUGAAGCCAGUUUGAUUUAGAUUGUCUGUUAUUUACG